AGAGAGCAGUGAGAGGGGAGGGAGAGCAUCAGGAAGAAUAGCUAAUGAAUGCUGAGCUUAAUAACUAGGUGAUGGGAUGACUUGUGCCACAAACCACCAUGACACAUGUUUACG